rnacentral:tRNA from 1 species
CUUAAGAUUUAACUAACGUGAAUAGACGGUUUUAUCA